rnacentral:rRNA from 1 species
GUCGUCGAGUACGUCACGAGGAGUUGUUAGCACUGGCUCAGGACGAACGCUGGCGGCGUGCUUCAUACAUGCAAGUCGAACGAUAAGGCACCUUCGGGUGUACAUAAGUGGCGGACGGGUGAGUAAAAUGUAGAGAAUCUGCCCUAGAGCGGGGGACAACAGCUGGAAACGGUUGCUAAUACCCCAUAUGAGCGUAGUUGAGAUACUAUUCUUGAAAACUCCGGUGCUCUGGGAUGAGUCUGCAUCUGAUUAGCUAGUUGGGGGUGUAAUGGACCACCAAGGCGACGAUCAGUAGCUGGUUUGAGAGGAUGAUCAGCCACAAUGGGACUGAGACACGGCCCAUACUCCUACGGGAGGCAGCAGUAGGGAAUUUUGCGCAAUGGGGGAAACCCUGAACCGCAGCAACGCCGCGUGAUUGAAGAAGCCCUUCGGGGUGUAAAGAUCUGUCAGUGGGGACGAAACUUGACGGUACCCACAGAGGAAGCAUCGGCUAACUCCGUGCCAGCCGCCGC